UCUUCAGUCUGAGAAGAAUUUCUGUCUUUCAUAGAAGUUUGAAAGGCUUCUUAUUUUGAUGACUUUGCCUAAAGAAGGGAUUCUACAGCCCAAUGCUUUCUUUUUAAUAUACCUAAUGAGUAAAAGUGCAAAAUAAGCACAGAACUAUCAAACAGCAACAAAUGUGCCUCUGCUGCCUACCACAGGAUUUUCCUUGGUGAGAAGAAAAUCCUACAUUACAUUUCUCCUUGGCUUCUGUCUCUGCAGCCUCAGAGUUGAUGAUGAAUACAGUCCUGCUCCACUUUGAUUCCAUCUGGCUCUGGAAGAUGUUUCUGAAGGUUUGUGAACAGCAUUUGGAUUUGUUUGUUUUUAUUUAUAUUGUCUUUUUACUGUGAUGUAUAAGUAUGUCCUGUAAUGUCAUUGA
rnacentral:lncRNA from 1 species